UGUCAUGAGGUUUGAUUUUGCAGGUGGCAUUUUAAUUUUUUUGAGUUUUUAAAAUAGGUAGGCAUAAUUUGUACGCAUUGUUUAGCCGGUGAAAAAUUAAAAAUGCAUGAAUUAUACAGUUGUUUUGAAGAAGCAAAUUGUUUCUUUAAAUGAAAUAUUUUGAAUUGGGAUAAACCAAUUAUUCAAUUAGUUUUUAAACAUAAUUUUUUCCUUGUUAAUUCUAAAUAGGAAUUUUUGUGAAAAAUUCCAAAAUAUUUCAAAAGUUAUCAUAAUGAUAUGGUAGAAAUCACAAUGUAAAGCUAAUUCAAACUGAUGUUAACCUAUUACCUUCAACUUUCAUUUUAAAAAUCUGCUACCUUGGUACCUAGUAAUUGUUGUAGAAUAAUAUGUUUUCAAAUGUAACACUGGUAAGGAUCUUUAAUCACAAAUUGUUAAUUCUAUAUUCUCAACUGCAACUCGUAUUUUAUAAACUUUCUGACCUAUAUUUUACUUCCCAACCACAAAAAAAACCUUUGUUAAAGUCAAUAAUAUUUUUCGUCUUACGACAAUCAUAGUAUGCUUUAUAAAAGUUUUUAAUUUUAA